GACGAACGCUGGCGGCGUGCUUAACACAUGCAAGUCGAACGGUGAAAGCGGAGCUUGCUCCGCUGGAUCAGUGGCGAACGGGUGAGUAACACGUGGGCAACCUGCCCCUCACUUCGGGAUAACUCCGGGAAACCGGGGCUAAUACCGGAUAUGACCUCCUUGGGCAUCCUUGGAGGUGGAAAGUUUUUCGGUGAGGGAUGGGCCCGCGGCCUAUCAGCUUGUUGGUGAGGUAGUGGCUCACCAAGGCGACGACGGGUAGCCGGCCGGAGAGGGCGACCGGCCACACUGGGACUGAGACACGGCCCAGGCUCCUACGGGAGGCAGCAGUGGGGAAUAUUGCGCAAUGGGCGAAAGCCUGACGCAGCAACGCCGCGUGCGGGAUGACGGCCUUCGGGUUGUAAACCGCUUUCAGCAGGGAAGAAGCCGCAAGGUGACGGUACCUGCAGAAGAAGCACCGGCUAACUACGUGCCAGCAGCCGCCGUAA
rnacentral:rRNA from 1 species